CCUACGGGAGGCAGCAGUGAGGAAUAUUGGUCAAUGGGCGGAAGCCUGAACCAGCCAAGUAGCGUGAGGGAUGAAUGCCCUACGGGUUGUAAACCGCUUUUGUACGGGGAUAACACCGUCCACUUGUGGAGGGCCUCAGGUACCGUGCGAAUAAAGGCUGGCCAAGUCCGGUCCAAGCGCCGCGGGAAUUCGGAAGGCCCGGACGUUAUUCGGAUUGAUUGGGCUUUAAGGGGUCCUUGGCGGGCGUUCAAGUCAGCCGUAAAAUUGCGCGGCUCAACCGCGCUCCGCAGUUGAAACUGGGGGCCUUGAGUGGACAGCAGGCAGGCGGAAUGCGUGGUGUAGCGGUGAAAUGCAUAGAUAUCACGAAGAACCCCGAUUGCGAAGGCAGCCUACCGGGGUGCGACUGACGCUGAGGCUCGAAGGUGCGGGUAUCAAACAGGAUUAGAUACCCGUGUAGUC
rnacentral:rRNA from 1 species